rnacentral:rRNA from 1 species
UAAAAUUUAUAAAAUUAGGUAGUAGAAAAAUUUUUGAAACCUAAAGAAUUUGGCGGUAUUUUAAAUAAUUGGAGGAACCUGUUAUUUAAUUGACAGUCCACAACACAUCUUUCCUAAAUUUUAUUUGUAUAUCGUCGUUUUGAUAAUAUUUAAAAAUUAUAAUCGAUAUUAAUAAAUUUUUUAAAAAUCAGAUCAAGGUGCAGUAUAUUUAGGAUAUAAUGGGUUACAAUAUAUUUAUAUAUUAUGGAUAUAAAAUUAAAAAUACAUUAAAAGUGGAUUCAAAAGUAAAAUUAAAUUAAAAUGUUAAUUUGAUUUAUAAUUUAAAAUAUGC